rnacentral:rRNA from 1 species
GAUGAACGCUGGCGGCGUGCCUAAUACAUGCAAGUCGAGCGAACAGACGAGGAGCUUGCUCCUCUGACGUUAGCGGCGGACGGGUGAGUAACACGUGGAUAACCUACCUAUAAGACUGGGAUAACUUCGGGAAACCGGAGCUAAUACCGGAUAAUAUAUUGAACCGCAUGGUUCAAUAGUGAAAGACGGUUUUGCUGUCACUUAUAGAUGGAUCCGCGCCGCAUUAGCUAGUUGGUAAGGUAACGGCUUACCAAGGCAACGAUGCGUAGCCGACCUGAGAGGGUGAUCGGCCACACUGGAACUGAGACACGGUCCAGACUCCUACGGGAGGAAGCAGUAGGGAAGCUUCCGCAAUGGGCGAAAGCUUGACGGAGAAACGCCGCGUGAGUGAUGAAGGUCUUCGGAUCGUAAAACUCUGUUAUUAGGGAAGAACAAAUGUGUAAGUAACUAUGCACGUCUUGACGGUACAUAAUCAGAAAGCCACGGCUAACUACGUG